CCUACGGGCGGCAGCAGUGAGGAAUAUUGGUCAAUGGGCUUACGCCUGAACCAGCCAAGUCGCGUGAGGGAAGACUGCCCUAUGGGUUGUAAACCUCUUUUGUCAGGGAGCAACGCCGGCUACGUGUAGCCGGACUGAGAGUACCUGAAGAAAAAGCAUCGGCUAACUCCGUGCCAGCAGCCGCGGUAAUACGGAGGAUGCGAGCGUUAUACGGAUUUAUUGGGUUUAAAGGGUGCGUGGGCGGAAUGCCACGUCAGCGGUAAAAUCGCGGGGCUCAACCUCGCUCCGCUGUUGAAACUGGCGUUCUUGAGUUGGCGAGAAGUAUGCGGAAGGCGGGGUGUAGCGGUGCAAUGCAU
rnacentral:rRNA from 1 species